GACUAGAGACAACACUUACCUCAUCCUCUCAGAUCUUACAGUCAAGUGGGAAAGGUUUUCCUGUUCUGGACAAUUCAUCCAAAUGAGAUCAUAUGAUACUCACCUUUCGUGUCUGGAUUCUAUUUCCUACCACACAUCUUCACAAUUCAUCCAUGUCACAGCAUCUGCAGCACAUCGGAGCUUUCCCUGGUUCUCUGAUAUGAAGCCAUGGUGAAGGACAGGUAAUACAAUGCAGGUGCUGGAAUGAAGUAUGAAUCAUCGGCGGAUAUAUCAGGAAACUCAUAAAACUAUAUGAUUUGUUGACUGUUCAACCAAUGAAUAGUGAGUUGCUGUCCUAGGUAUCUAUCAUCUAUCCUAUCCUACCGAAUGCCUCAUUUAUUAAAUCAUCUUAUUUUACAUGAACAGCGUGAUUUUAACUUUUCAGAAAGCAAUGCCCAGAGACUGACUGGAAAACCCAGCUUCUCUGGUUUUGUAAAUUUCAGGUGUUGCUGAGGCAGUUAUUACCAGUAACACUGUCAAUAGAGUUAUAAAUCUCACUCAGUAUCUGAAUUGCUUUACAGGGAAUUUCUUUUACAAAUGCAAUUAGUUUUGUGUCUAUAGUAUCUGUGCUACAAUGUUGAUAAAUAUUUUUAAAUCUUGUCUUUAGAAUAUGAACAUGAAUUAUAUUUAUAAAUUAAGGUUUUUUUCUACAGUAAUUUAUAUGCAAACUAAAUCUUUAAAAACUGUUGCAAUAAAAUACACAAAAAUUUUUAUGGUUUCUCCUAUUACAUAAUAUUGUUAAAUGUUAUGAAAGCAAAUAGUGAGUGUAUGUGUGUGUGACACACACACACUCAUUUGCAAAACACUUACAUACAAGCCCAAAACAUUGCUAAUUAAAUAAAAAGCAAAAAUAAAAUUCAAGUAAAAUUUUUAAAUCUUUAUGCAUAACUCAUCCAAAAGCCCAAUGGAUCAAAUGAGAAUUCUAUCCCAGUUUUCAUCUUUCAGCUCUUUAACCUGCACCUAAUAACCAAGACCUCACAAGGUUUAAUUAUGUAAUGUAUUACACCUUUAUAUAAAUGACUUAUUAAGUCUCUUAUCUCUCAACUGCCCUUCAUUUUAUUCUCAAAUUGAUCUCAGUCUGUAUAAUUAGCUAUUCUAUUGUGAACAGUGAUAUGAUCUGAGCCGUGAAAUUAAAGUUGCAUAAAAACCAGUAUAUAAAAACUGGAGUUUUGAUUCA